CAGUAGCCGCGGUAAUACGUAGGUCCCGAGCGUUGUCCGGAUUUAUUGGGCGUAAAGCGAGCGCAGGCGGUUAGAUAAGUCUGAAGUUAAAGGCUGUGGCUUAACCAUAGUACGCUUUGGAAACUGUUUAACUUGAGUGCAAGAGGGGAGAGUGGAAUUCCUUGUGUAGCGGUGAAAUGCGUAGAUAUAUGGAGGAACACCGGUGGCGAAAGCGGCUCUCUGGCUUGUAACUGACGCUGAGGCUCGAAAGCGUGGGGCGCAAACAGGAUUAGAUACCCCGGUAGUCCCUGUCUCUUAUACA
rnacentral:rRNA from 1 species